rnacentral:rRNA from 1 species
AACGAACGCUGGCGGCAUGCCUAAUACAUGCAAGUCGAACGAGACCUUCGGGUCUAGUGGCGCACGGGUGCGUAACGCGUGGGAAUCUGCCCUUGGGUUCGGAAUAACAGUUGGAAACGACUGCUAAUACCGGAUGAUGACGAAAGUCCAAAGAUUUACCGGCCCAGGGAUGAGCCCGCGUAGGAUUAGCUAGUUGGUGA